AGGGUUGUGGCUCAGUGGCAGAGCACUUGCCUAGCAUGUGUGAGGCACUGGGUUCGAUUCUCAGCACCACAU
rnacentral:tRNA from 1 species